GCCUGGCUCAUUUUGUAUUUUUAGUAGAGACAGGGUUUCUCCAUGUUGGUCAGGCUGGUCUUGAACUUCUGACCUCAGGUGAUCCGGCUGCCUUGACCUCCCAAAGUGCCAGGAUUACAGGCAUGAGCCACUGUGCCUGGCCUUUUGGGAUUGGUUUAAAGAGCUGUGGAAGACAAUUGAGCAAUUACCACAGAGAUUAGCAAUGGAGUUCCUAGUAUAUUUGAAAAUGAAUAAAAUUGUUCCUGGGAAAAUUAACAAUAGUGAUCUCAGUCUAAAUUACAGAGUAAGCAAUUCAGAGAGGAUAAUAUGCCACAUAUGCAUAGAUUUGUUUAAAACAGUAAAUUAUAUAGCACUGUAAAAAUUGAAAAAAAUACUAUUAGAACAACAAACAAUUAGGUUGAUGAAGCACAAUAAGAGACUAAUGAAAAGGAAAGAAAUGAAAUUACUUAAUAUCAAAAUGUAUGAAAUAAAUUUAAGCCAUAUACAAGCAUGCCAAAUUAACUUGUGAGAUUAACAAAGAGUGUAUUAAUUGGGGAAAAAGACUAGGAGUCUGCAAAUCCUAAGAUUAGGCUUAACACUAAGCCUCUUACAAACUUCAAGUUUUCAAAAAGGCUCAAGGUUUUCUGGUACAGAGGUACUAUGGGAGCACAGUUCAGAUUUAACUUAACAUUACGUUAUUUAGGCGUGAGCCACCGCGCCCAGCCGAAAUUCUUAUUUCUACAAAGUCUGACAUUUUUUCAUUCAUAUGAAUGGUGAGGAAUAACAAACUUGGAAGGAAAGAAAUAGUAAAAAGAGAGUGAGAGUACAAAGGUGAAAGAGUUGAGGGAAAGCAUUACUCAACAUCUUAUCUGGUUCAGAGGCUCAUCUAGAUUUGUAUUUACAGCAGUGAACAACCUACAAAGAAAUGUAUUCUCAAGUAGGCUUUAUUCAAAUUAAGAGAUGUGGUCUGGAAAUAAUAAAGAAAAUAUUGGAAAAUAUACACUAAGUUAUAAAGAGACAGAUUCUAUGGAAAAUAUCAGAAUACCAGCACCAAGUAAUAACGAACACGUGAAGUAGGUAGAAUUUCUAUAGGAAAUUUCUAUAGUCAGGGUUGUCCUUAUAGUGGAGAUAAUAUUUGAGCAUAUAUUUAAAGCACAGCAGA
rnacentral:lncRNA from 10 species